rnacentral:rRNA from 1 species
UGCGGGGGGGGCAAGCGUUGUUCGGAAUCACUGGGCGUAAAGCGCGUGUAGGCGGCCCACUAAGUCUGAUGUGAAAGCCCGGGGCUCACCCCCGGAAGUGCAUUGGAAACUGGUGGACUCGAGUCCCGGAGAGGAGAGUGGAAUUCCUGGUGUAGCGGUGAAAUGCGUAGAUAUCAGGAGGAACACCGGUGGCGAAGGCGGCUCUCUGGACGGUGACUGACGCUGAGACGCGAAAGCGUGGGGAGCAAACAGG